rnacentral:rRNA from 1 species
UUCAAGGGUCAUGCCACCCUGACCAUACCUGAACUUUUAUGAUCUUGGAAGCUAAGUAGGGUUGGGCCUGGUCAGCUCUUGAAUGAACACAUGGGAAUACUGGGUGUUAUAGGCU